rnacentral:rRNA from 1 species
AGAGUUUGAUCCUGGCUCAGGACGAACGCUGGCGGCGCGCCUAACACAUGCAAGUCGAACGGAGCUGAGAGGAGCUUGCUUUUCUUAGCUUAGUGGCGAACGGGUGAGUAACGCGUGAGUAACCUGCCCUGGAGUGGGGGACAACAGUUGGAAACGACUGCUAAUACCGCAUAAGCCCACGGCCCGGCAUCGGGCUGAGGGAAAAGGAUUUAUUCGCUUCAGGAUGGACUCGCGUCCAAUUAGCUAGUUGGUGAGGUAACGGCCCACCAAGGCGACGAUUGGUAGCCGGACUGAGAGGUUGAACGGCCACAUUGGGACUGAGACACGGCCCAGACUCCUACGGGAGGCAGCAGUGGGGGAUAUUGCACAAUGGGGGAAACCCUGAUGCAGCGACGCCGCGUGGAGGAAGAAGGUCUUCGGAUUGUAAACUCCUGUUGUUGAGGAAGAUAAUGACGGUACUCAACAAGGAAGUGACGGCUAACUACGUGCCAGCAGCCGCGGUAAAACGUAGGUCACAAGCGUUGUCCGGAAUUACUGGGUGUAAAGGGAGCGCAGGCGGGAGAACAAGUUGGAAGUGAAAUCCAUGGGCUCAACCCAUGAACUGCUUUCAAAACUGUUUUUCUUGAGUAGUGCAGAGGUAGGCGGAAUUCCCGGUGUAGCGGUGGAAUGCGUAGAUAUCGGGAGGAACACCAGUGGCGAAGGCGACCUACUGGGCACCAACUGACGCUGAGGCUCGAAAGCAUGGGUAGCAAACAGGAUUAGAUACCCUGGUAGUCCAUGCCGUAAACGAUGAUUACUAGGUGUUGGAGGAUUGACCCCUUCAGUGCCGCAGUUAACACAAUAAGUAAUCCACCUGGGGAGUACGACCGCAAGGUUGAAACUCAAAGGAAUUGACGGGGGCCCGCACAAGCAGUGGAGUAU